AAAGGAAAAGAAAAAGCGGCUCCAAGUGUCCACCGCGUUCCUGUUGACGAUGUAUCAACCAAGACAUCGCCUGACCUCACAAGUUUGAGGCACGAACUUAAUCAAUUUAAGCAGGAAGUGCUUGCUGAAUUCAAGGUUGUUUUUACUGAGCUCAAGGAUCUUCGCAAAACUAUUGAUAAAAAUUUCAAAAAAGUUUUGGAACAUGUCAAAGGGAAUCAAAACUCAGAAAAGGAUGAUGACAGUGAAACUCAAGUCCCUUUACAUGAUGGCAACUUACAUCAACAAUCUGAUGAUUACAU